GGGGAAUAUUGCGCAAUGGGGGAAACCCUGACGCAGCAACGCCGCGUGAGUGAAGAAGGUUUUCGGAUCGUAAAACUCUGUCCAUGGGAACGAAAAAAAUGACGGUACCCGUGGAGGAAGCCCCGGCUAACUACGUGCCAGCAGCCGCGGUAGUACGUAGGGGGCAAGCGUUGUCCGGAAUCACUGGGCGUAAAGAGCAUGUAGGCGGCAUGGUAAGUUGGAUGUGAAAGUUCAUGGCUUAACUGUGAAAUUGCAUCCAAAACUGCCAAGCUUGAAUAUCGGAGAGGUAAGCGGAAUUCCUAGUGUAGCGGUGAAAUGCGUAGAGAUUAGGAAGGACACCGGUGGCGAAGGCGGCUUACUGGACGAAUAUUGACGCUGAGAUGCGAAAGCGUGGGGAGCAAAC
rnacentral:rRNA from 1 species